AAAAGUGAAAGACGGUCUUGCUGUCACUUAUAGAUGGAUCCGCGCUGCAUUAGCUAGUUGGUAAGGUAACGGCUUACCAAGGCAACGAUGCAUAGCCGACCUGAGAGGGUGAUCGGCCACACUGGAACUGAGACACGGUCCAGACUCCUACGGGAGGCAGCAGUAGGGAAUCUUCCGCAAUGGGCGAAAGCCUGACGGAGCAACGCCGCGUGAGUGAUGAAGGUCUUCGGAUCGUAAAACUCUGUUAUUAGGGAAGAACAUAUGUGUAAGUAACUGUGCACAUCUUGACGGUACCUAAUCAGAAAGCCACGGCUAACUACGUGCCAGCAGCCGCGGUAAUACGUAGGUGGCAAGCGUUAUCCGGAAUUAUUGGGCGUAAAGCGCGCGUAGGCGGUUUUUUAAGUCUGAUGUGAAAGCCCACGGCUCAACCGUGGAGGGUCAUUGGAAACUGGAAAACUUGAGUGCAGAAGAGGAAAGUGGAAUUCCAUGUGUA
rnacentral:rRNA from 1 species